ensembl:lncRNA
UGAUACAUCAAAAUGCACAACUCCCUUGGUUCCUCUUUGAACCCUGGCCAGUUUUGGGGGGGGAAACCAACAGGAGAAAGAGAAAACCUGAUGUUCUACUUGACUGUCGCAUAGAUUUGUUUAUUCAGUGGACUUUAGAGACCUCAACUACAAAGUGGAUGCACUGCUGUAGGGCUUCCCAAUUGCCAAGACAGGUUCUCCAAAUCCUCGCUGCAACUGGGGCACCACAACGACUGUGGAUCUGGAUGACGAGUAGGAUGUAUGUUGCUCCUAUACCUGAAGAUCAGAAAUUUAUUGCUGCCUUUGGAGAUGACUCUUCAACAAGAGACAUAUCUUGUCAAGUUGUGAACACCAAACAGGUGUGUACUGCAUACUGUGCUCUCAGAAGGUCUUCUGAUAAAGCUGGAGGAAGGCAAAGUAAUGAAAUUUAUCACCUCUUCCUGACAAACUUGAUCACAUCUGGCUAUGGAAACUUGAGCAAUUACAGGAGCUGAAACAGGAGCUUAUCAAAAUUUGAUCCAGGACUGCUUAAAAGGCUAUAACCAUGAACCCUCCUUUACAUACAGCUCUUCAUUAGCAGCAGAAUAUCCUCAACUAUUCCGCAUAACAGUAUGGAGCAUGAUGCAGAAUUUGAUGAAGUUUGCUGAGACUAGGUGUGCUCAUGCAUCACAUGGAGAAGUGGAAAUGAGUUCUCAACCAGAAUAUCUGGGUAGUUAUUGUAUUAAUGGAAAGAAAUAUGUCUUGUCUUAUCAGCAAUGUUAUUUAACUUGAGUUUCAGAGACUGCAACACUCUUUUUGUUGUGUAAUAGACAUAGUCCUUCUGUAUAGCUUGUUGAUCUUCCCUUCUUACUGAUCUUUCAGACUGAUAUCCUCAAGGAUUACACUGGGAUACAGCAAAAUCUCUGGCUACAGCUCCAAUUUCAUUUGACAUGUAUGCACUAGUGCCUGGCUGUCAAAACAAAAUAGUUCAGAUAAUGAGAACAUGCAUGAUUCUGUUUUCUACUUCUGUUUACAUAAAACCAGAUUUUAUUAAAAUAUGAACAUUUGGAGUUGUAGAGCAGUUAUCUCAAGCCAAUAUGUUUAGAGAGAUGCAUUCAUUCAAAGAAAAGCCGCAGGAUGGUUCUUCUGUUUACCGUACACAAAGACCACAUAUAGGCGAACAGGAGGAUACAAUUUCCAAAGAGGAAGAAAAAAUUAUGAUGGUGUAUAAAAUCUUAAGGAAAAUAAACAAUUUGAGAACCUAAAUAGGAUUUGUUACUUCAUCUUAAACAGAAGUAUGAUCUUUCUUUUAUUUUCCUUUAUUUUACUUUUAUUUUCCUGUAUUGGUAAAUGCAUUUGUGGGAAGCAAUAAUAGUAUCCAAGGGAAAAGAAUGGGAGUUCAUAUGCUGUUAGAAAGUCUGGUGAGGAAUGUUCUAUUUUACUGUUAGGAUAAGUUGGAAGUCGAAUAAUGAAAGGAGAAAAUUGAGAGUAAAAUUGAAAUGAUAUUUGUUCUACCAUUUUAACAGCAUUCCUAAAGAUUGCUCUCAUUUUCAAAUAGUUCCACAUAAAAUCUGAUACUAAAAUGAAAGGCAUCUUGCUUUUUACAUGACCUCUAGAGGGCCUUUCCAAUCUGAAUUACCCAAUAAUUCUAUGAUUCUCUUCAUCUGAGUAACAGAAGAUCCUUAAAAUGUUUUCAUUUCUGAAUGAUUUUGGCUUUUGAACUGUGCAUAGAUAUUUAACUUGAUCAAUGCCUGGUAAUUACCAAUACAAUCUUACCACUCAUUAUCUGUCCCACUGCACUCAAUAAAACAUGUUCAUAGAAAGCUACAUUAAUAAAAAAAAACUCAAAAUCAAUACGAAAAUAUAAUCAUUAACACAUGAAAUAGAUGUUAUUACUGUUAUUACUCUAUUAUUCCAG